rfam:Firmicutes bacterium CAG:534 genomic scaffold, scf22
UGAUAGCGUAGAAGCGUGAGGUUGCUGCUUUGCCGAGAGGCACUGCAGGUUUUCCGUGGAGCGAAUGUCAAGAGACCGGAAUUCCGGUCAAAGAACCUGACGGCAA